GCUUACGGCCAGACCAGCCUGAAUAUGCCCGAUCUCGGAAGCUAAGCAGGGUCAGAACUGGUCACUACUUGGUUGGGAGACUGCUUGGGAAUAUCAGGUGCUGUAAGCU
rnacentral:rRNA from 1 species